CCAACAGGGAUUGCCCUAGUAACGGCGAGUGAAGCGGCAACAGCUCAAAUUUGAAAUCUGGCCCCCGGGUCCGAGUUGUAAUUUGUAGAGGAUGCUUUUGGUGCGGUACCUUCCGAGUUCUCUGGAACGAGACGCCAUAGAGGGUGAGAGCCCCGUCUGGUUGGACGCCAAACCUUUGUAAAGCUCCUUCGACGAGUCGAGUAGUUUGGGAAUGCUGCUCUAAAUGGGAGGUAUAUGUCUUCUAAAGCUAAAUAUUGGCCAGAGACCGAUAGCGCACAAGUAGAGUGAUCGAAAGAUGAAAAGCACUUUGAAAAGAGAGUUAAAAAGUACGUGAAAUUGUUGAAAGGGAAGCGCUCAUGACCAGACUUGGGCCCGGUUGAUCAUCCAGGGUUCUCCCUGGUGCACUCUUCCGGCCCAGGCCAGCAUCAGUUCGCUGUGGGGGAUAAAGGCUUCGGGAAUGUGGCUCCCUCGGGAGUGUUAUAGCCCGUCGUGCAAUACCCUGCGGCGGACUGAGGUUCGCGCAUUCGCAAGGAUGCUGGCGUAAUGGUCAUCAGCGACCCGUCUUGAAACACGGACCAAGGAGUCGUCUUCGUAUGCGAGUGUUCGGGUGUCAAACCCCUACGCGUAAUGAAAGUGAACGCAGGUGAGAGCUUCGGCGCAUCAUCGACCGAUCCUGAUGUUCUCGGAUGGAUUUGAGUAAGAGCAUACGGGGCCGGACCCGAAAGAAGGUGAACUAUGCCUGUAUAGGGUGAAGCCAGAGGAAACUCUGGUGGAGGCUCGCAGCGGUUCUGACGUGCAAAUCGAUCGUCAAAUAUGGGCAUGGGGGCGAAAGACUAAU
rnacentral:rRNA from 1 species